ACCAGUGAGAUUGGAGACUACUCUGCAAUUCAAAGGGCAAGAAAAUCGUCAGAGGAGCGAAGGGAGUAAAAGGCAGCAGCCUCGGGGAGCCGGCCGAAGGCGGCCCCUCCUCCCAGCUAUGGUCCCCCGCAAUGCAUUCUUCCCAGCCACAAAUAAGACGGGAAAGCUGGGUUGGUAGCUGCACUUCUGGAGAGACAGUCAGAUCACUUUCUGAAGCUUCUUAGCUGACAGAUUAACCCAGUGGUGAGAGGCCUCCUGAAAUUCUCCAUUCUGCAGACCAAGCAGCUGCUUCUGGAACUCAGCCCACUCAGCCCAUGGAUGGUAAGAGAGUCAAGUGGUUGGCCAGGUGUAGAUUACAGGGGUCUCUUUGUUGAUGCUGAGGUGGGACUCUGUUGUUUUCCCUGUGCUCGAAUCUGGGUCACAGUCUUGG